rnacentral:rRNA from 1 species
UUUGGUGGCAAUGGCGGAGGGGUUCCACACGUACCCAUCUCGAACACGACCGUUAAGCCCUCCAGCGCCGAUGGUACUUGGACCGC